rnacentral:rRNA from 1 species
UACAGAGGGUGCGAGCGUUAAUCGGAAUUACUGGGCGUAAAGCGUGCGUAGACGGUUAUUUAAGUCGGGCGUGAAAGCCCCGGGCUCAACCUGGGAAUUGCAUUCGAGACUGAAUAGCUAGGGUACGGUAGAGGGAAGUGGAAUUUCCGGUGUAGCGGUGAAAUGCGUAGAUAUCGGAAGGAACAUCAGUGGCGAAAGCGACUUCCUGGACCAGUACCGACGUUCAGGCACGAAAGCGUGGGGAGCAAACGGG